GAUGUCUGCACUCCCAUGUUCACUGCAGCACUAUGCACUAUUCAACUUAUGGAAUCAACCAAAGUGUUCAUCAACAGAUGAAUGGACAAAGAAAAUGUGACAUAUAUACACAGCCCGUAAAUACCACUCAGCCUUUAAAAAGAAAGAAAUUUUGUCAUUUGCAGCAACAUUGGAUGGAAUGAGAGAACAUUAUGCUAAGUGAAAUAAGCCAGGUACAGAAGGACAAAUACUGCAU
rnacentral:lncRNA from 1 species